CCUACGGGGGGCUGUAGUGGGGAAUAUUGGACAAUGGGGGGAACCCUGAUCCAGCCAUGCCGCGUGUGUGAAGAAGGCCCUCGGGUUGUAAAGCACUUUCAGUGAGGAAGAACGCCUGGUGGUUAAUACCCAUCAGGAAAGACAUCACUCACAGAAGAAGCACCGGCUAACUCCGUGCCAGCAGCCGCGGUAAUACGGAGGGUGCGAGCGUUAAUCGGAAUUACUGGGCGUAAAGCGCGCGUAGGUGGCUUGAUAAGCCGGUUGUGAAAGCCCCGGGCUCAACCUGGGAACGGCAUCCGGAACUGUCAAGCUAGAGUGCAGGAGAGGAAGGUAGAAUUCCCGGUGUAGCGGUGAAAUGCGUAGAGAUCGGGAGGAAUACCAGUGGCGAAGGCGGCCUUCUGGACUGACACUGACACUGAGGUGCGAAAGCGUGGGUAGCAAACAGGAUUAGAUACCCUGGUAGUC
rnacentral:rRNA from 1 species